rnacentral:rRNA from 1 species
GAGUUUGAUCCUGGCUCAGAUUGAACGCUGGCGGCAGGCCUAACACAUGCAAGUCGGGCGGUAGAGAGAAGCUUGCUUCUCUUGAGAGCGGCGGACGGGUGAGUAAUGCCUAGGAAUCUGCCUGGUAGUGGGGGAUAACGCUCGGAAACGGACGCUAAUACCGCAUACGUCCUACGGGAGAAAGCAGGGGACCUUCGGGCCUUGCGCUAUCAGAUGAGCCUAGGUCGGAUUAGCUAGUUGGUGAGGUAAUGGCUCACCAAGGCGACGAUCCGUAACUGGUCUGAGAGGAUGAUCAGUCACACUGGAACUGAGACACGGUCCAGACUCCUACGGGAGGCAGCAGUGGGGAAUAUUGGACAAUGGGCGAAAGCCUGAUCCAGCCAUGCCGCGUGUGUGAAGAAGGUCUUCGGAUUGUAAAGCACUUUAAGUUGGGAGGAAGGGCAGUAAAUUAAUACUUUAGCUGUUUUGACGUUACCGACAGAAUAAGCACCGGCUAACUCUGUGCCAGCCGCCG